CUUGAGCGCCGUGGCCUCAGCCUUCCUCAGCUGGCCCUGCAGCUCGUAGUAGAGCAUCGCCCCGUACAGGAACCCGAACACCACGGAUAAUCUCCAGUGAUUACUUUUUCCUGGUGCAUUUCCUGUUGGGCUGUCCAGACUGGAGGCUGUGGCAGAUGCAGGAGUAAAUAGAGACUGAAAGAAUGGAUAAAUCUGCUGCAGCAAAGCAAUAGAGCUUUUGAGUUCAUGUAGCACAUGUAGAAGAAACCUACUGUUAGGAAGAGCUGAUGAUUCGUCUCCAGUUUCAUAUGGCAGAAAUCUCCAAAUCUAAAGAGCCCCUCCAGAAGUGGCCAACAAGGCUGAUACCACUGAAGAGGAUGAUGAGGGAAGCAGAGAAACAAAAGGAAGAGGCAAAGAGGCUGAUUGAUGAUCCCCAUCUCAUCAGUAGCCUUUUUAAAAGGAAGGAAACACACCAAAAGUUCCUCACUCCAAGCUCCCUGGUGUGUCCAAUUAUUUAAGUUCCUCCUAGAAUGCAGCUGCCUUCUGGGCAAAGGCCACCUGUGUUUUGUCACAUUUUAGGUUUUUGAUUCCUGUUCAUCAGCAAGAAGCUUAUCCAAGCUUUUUUUAGGAACCUCCAUGUGGAUUGAGGGCUGUGUGACCUUUAACUUCAUCUUUCCAUGACAAUAAGCACCACAAAAGUCAACGACUGGAGUACAUUUGUGACAGUAUUUGCAGAAACAAAUCCAGAAAAUCCUUCUGGGGUUCUUAGUAACCUUCCAAACGCUGAAUAAUAAAUAAGCCCUUUGAAGUGA